GUCGAUCAAUAAUGGCACUUGGCUGGGUCUGGAGUUCUCUUUGGGUAGUCAUAUUUGGUGGGUGGCUUUGGGCUAUCUCCAAGCACCUAUUUAAAACUUCCGUCUAGCUGUUGGUUUGUGGGUGAUAUGUCAUACUCCUUUUCAAUUUAGUACCCAGCAUAUGGAAUAACUUUGUCCAAAAUCUGCUCUUGAAGAUGCAAGUAGAAUUUGUCACAAGCACAAUGCAUCCCUUAUAGCAUAAGUCUUUUGAGUCCCGAUUGUAAUGAGCCACGGAGCUUGGUGCUUCCUCUAAUUUUUUUUUGUAUCUUACUGGUCUCCGAAUCUUCCUGCCAUUCCAUCUUAAUAUCCUCAAGGAAGUCGCUGGUUGGAAGUAAAACGACCAAAAAUUCAGCUUGCUCAGGUAGCUGCGAAAGCGCAUCUGCAACAACAUUCUCUUUCCAC
rnacentral:lncRNA from 1 species